rnacentral:lncRNA from 1 species
UACUUGCAGUACUGCUAUGUGCUAAGCUUAACUGGAAGCCUUGGAAUGGGCAUAAGUUGUAUGUCCUACAUUUCAUCAUUGUCCCGGGCCUGCAUUGCACUGGAAAAAAAAAUCGCCACCUGUUCUUACACCAGUAUUUGGUUCAAGACACCAAAUGUCUUCAGCCCAUGGCUGAAGAACAACAGAAGAGAGUCAGGAUAAAAAAUACAUACUGUGGUCGGCAAGGUGAGGGAGAUAGGGAUAUCCAGGGGAAGAGGGUGUUGCUGUGGCCCACUCUCUGUCUAAUCUCUUUACAGCAAAUUGCACAAGUAUUAUCUCAGUGGAUUAUCCGGAAUAACAUCUGAAAGAUGGGUUCAUCUAUGUUUGUGUUUGCUCUUUAAACUAUUGUUUCUCCUAUCCCAAGUUCGCUUUGCAUCUAUCAGUAAAUAAAAUUCUUCAGCUGCCUUAUUAGGAGUGCUAUGAGGGUAACACCUGUUCUGCUUUUCAUCUUGUAUUUAGUUGACUGUAUUAUUUGAUUUCGGAUUGAAUGAAUGUAAAUAGAAAUUAAAUGCAAAUUUGAAUGAA